ACUACGUGUAUUUUACACUGUACCAAUACUUGCACAAGUGUUUUAAACAAACCGUGUCACGUUCUGGUCAACCUUUCAAACCGUGUCACCUUAGGGAAUAUUUACUAAAAUCAACUGUGGGGUAUAAUGAUAAAAGCCUGCUUGACUGUAAGAUAGACAUAUCAAACAGGGACGAAAGCAGGUCAUAGUUAUCCGAUAAUUUUUUGUGUAAGUAUUACCGCUCAACGGAUAAAAGGUACUCCGGGGGUAACAGGCUGAUAACUCCUAAGAGCUCCUAUCGACAGAGUCGUUUGGUGAACGUAAUUAUAUAUCAAUAAAAAGUGCGCUUAUCUUGCUACUAUAACCGGAUGGAUC
rnacentral:ncRNA from 1 species